rnacentral:rRNA from 1 species
GAUGAACGCUGGCGGCGUGCUUAACACAUGCAAGUCGAACGGAAAGGCCCAAGCUUGCUUGGGUACUCGAGUGGCGAACGGGUGAGUAACACGUGGGUGAUCUGCCCUGCACUUCGGGAUGAGCCUGGGAAACUGGGGCUAAUACCGGAUAGGACCACUUCUUGGAUGUUGUGGUGGAAAGUUUUUUCGGUGUGGGAUGAGCUCGCGGCCUAUCAGCUUGUUGGUGGGGUAAUGGCCUACCAAGGCGUCGACGGGUAGCCGGCCUGUGAGGGUGUACGGCCACAUUGGGACUGAGGGACGGCCCAGACUGCGACGGGAGGCAGCAGUGGGGAAUAUUGCACAAUGGGCGCAAGCCUGAUGCAGCGACGCCGCGUGGGGGAUGACGGCCUUCGGGUUGUAAACUCCUUUCGCUAGGGACGAAGCGUUUUGUGACGGUACCUGGAGAAGAAGCACCGGCUAACUACGUG